AAAUGAAUAGACGGGGACCCGCACAAGCAGUGGAGCAUGUGGUUUAAUUCGAAGCAACGCGAAGAACCUUACCAGGUCUUGACAUCCUCCUGACCGGUGCAGAGAUGCGCCUUUCCCUUCGGGGACAGGGGAGACAGGUGGUGCAUGGUUGUCGUCAGCUCGUGUCGUGAGAUGUUGGGUUAAGUCCCGCAACGAGCGCAACCCUUGGCUUCAGUUGCCAGCAUUGAGUUGGGCACUCUGGAGCGACUGCCGGUGACAAACCGGAGGAAGGCGGGGAUGACGUCAAAUCAUCAUGCCCCUUAUGACCUGGGCUACACACGUGCUACAAUGGCCGGUACAACGGGCUGCGAAGGAGCGAUCCGGAGCCAAUCCCUGAAAGCCGGUCUCAGUUCGGAUUGCAGGCUGCAACUCGCCUGCAUGAAGUCGGAAUUGCUAGUAAUCGCGGAUCAGCAUGCCGCGGUGAAUACGUUCCCGGGUCUUGUACACACCGCCCGU
rnacentral:rRNA from 1 species